GAGAAACCAGGAAAUUGCCUCUGGGAGCAGAAUGGGUAGGGUGCAGAUGUUUACCCCUUCAGGAGGGGAAGAUUAACAUGAAUGAUUAAAGUAGAAACUUGUAAGUGCUAUCAUGGCGAUGAUUCUGUUCCUGAAUGACAUGGACACUUCUGAAUGGUCGUGUUCUUGUUGGAGAUUGACACAACCCCUCGUUUGACCCUCAUCUGACUUGUGUGGAACUCACCUUUCACCAUGUCCAGAUUUGUUCCAUUGUUUGACUAUUGAGCAUGUGCCUUCAGUGUGCCUGGAAGGCAGUCAGGCACUACCACAUUUUAUCAUCUAUCUAUUUCUUUUCUUUUUUCUUUUUUUUUGGAUAAGGUAGAUAUUUCUUUUUUUUUUCUCUUCCUACAUAUCAACUGCAAAGUGCAAGUAGAUUUUAAAAAUCUCCACAGAUGACAUUCAAAAAUUGAAGAAGACAAAAUGUGGACAGGGUGAGCAGGAGUCAAGUGUCUCUAACAAAAGGUUUAAGGAAACAUGAUCCGU
rnacentral:lncRNA from 1 species